AACGAACGCUGGCGGCAUGCCUAACACAUGCAAGUCGAACGAGACCUUCGGGUCUAGUGGCGCACGGGUGCGUAACGCGUGGGAACCUGCCCUUAGGUUCGGAAUAACUCCCCGAAAGGGGUGCUAAUACCGGAUAAUGUCUUCGGACCAAAGAUUUAUCGCCUUUGGAUGGGCCCGCGUUGGAUUAGCUAGUUGGGAGGGUAAAAGCCUACCAAGGCGACGAUCCAUAGCUGGUCUGAGAGGAUGAUCAGCCACACUGGGACUGAGACACGGCCCAGACUCCUACGGGAGGCAGCAGUGGGGAAUAUUGGACAGUGGGCGAAAGCCUGAUGCAGCAAUGCCGCGUGAGUGAUGAAGGCCUUAGGGUUGUAAAGCUCUUUUACCCGGGAUGAUAAUGACAGUACCGGGAGAAUAAGCUCCGGCUAACUCCGUG
rnacentral:rRNA from 1 species